UACGUAGGGUGCAAGCGUUGUCCGGAAUUAUUGGGCGUAAAGAGCGUGUAGGCGGCCCGACAAGUCCGCUGUGAAAGUCCAGGGCUCAACCCUGGAAUGCCGGUGGAUACUGUCGGGCUAGAGUCCGGAAGGGGCGAGCGGAAUUCCUGGUGUAGCGGUGAAAUGCGCAGAUAUCAGGAGGAACACCAAUGGCGAAGGCAGCUCGCUGGGACGUGACUGACGCUGAGACGCGAAAGCGUGGGGAGCAAACAGG
rnacentral:rRNA from 1 species